GACCGGGAAGAGCUCAAAUUUGAAAUCUGGCGUCCUCAGGGCGUCCGAGUUGUAAUCUAUAGAGGCGUUUUCCGUGCCGGACCGUGUCCAAGUUCCUUGGAACAGGAUAUCAAAGAGGGUGACAAUCCCGUACUUGACACGACGACCGGUGCUCUGUGAUACGUCUUCUACGAGUCGAGUUGUUUGGGAAUGCAGCUCAAAAUGGGUGGUGAGUUCCAUCUAAAGCUAAAUAUUGGCGAGAGACCGAUAGCGAACAAGUACCGUGAGGGAAAGAUGAAAAGCACUUUGGAAAGAGAGUUAAACAGUACGUGAAAUUGUUGAAAGGGAAACGAUUGAAGUCAGUCGUGACCGAGAGGCUCAGCCGGUUCUGCCGGUGUAUUCCCCUCGGUCGGGUCAACAUCAGUUUUGUCCGGUGGAUAAGGGCGGUAGGAAGGUGGCACCCUCGGGUGUGUUAUAGCCUGCCGUCGCAUACAUCGGGUGAGACUGAGGAACGCAGCUCGCCUUUAUGGCCGGGGUUCGCCCACGUCCGAGCUUAGGAUGUUGACAUAAUGGCUUUAAACGACCCGUCUUGAAACACGGA
rnacentral:rRNA from 1 species